rnacentral:rRNA from 1 species
UACGAAGGGGGCUAGCGUUGCCCGGAAUCACUGGGCGUAAAGCGCACGUAGGCGGCUUGUUAAGUCAGGGGUGAAAUCCUGGAGCUCAACUCCGGAACUGCCUUUGAUACUGGCGAUCUUGAGUCCGGGAGAGGUGAGUGGAACUGCGAGUGUAGAGGUGAAAUUCGUAGAUAUUCGCAAGAACACCAGUGGCGAAGGCGGCUCACUGGCCCGGUACUGACGCUGAGGUGCGAAAGCGUGGGGAGCAAACAGG